rnacentral:rRNA from 1 species
CUCCAGUCCAUCGCAUGGUGGUCUGGGAAAGAUUUUAUCGGUAUGGGAUGGGGUCGCGUCCUAUCAGGUAGUCGGCGGGGUAACGGCCCACCGAGCCUACGACGGGUAGCCGGCCUGAGAGGGCGACCGGCCACAUUGGGACUGAGAUACGGCCCAGACUCCUACGGGAGGCAGCAGUGGGGAAUAUUGCAUAAUGGGCGCAAGCCUGAUGCAGCGACGCCGCGUGCGGGAUGACGGCCUUCGGGUUGUAAACCGCUUUUGUUGGGGAGCAAGCCUUCGGGUGAGUGUACCCUUCGAAUAAGCACCGGCUAACUACGUGCCAGCAGCCGCGGUAAUACGUAGGGUGCAAGCGUUAUCCGGAAUUAUUGGGCGUAAAGGGCUCGUAGGCGGUUCGUCGCGUCCGGUGUGAAAGUCCAUCGCUUAACGGUGGAUCUGCGCCGGGUACGGGCGGGCUGGAGUGCGGUAGGGGAGACUGGAA